CUUCUCCAUUACAGAUUAGCAAACCUGAAGCUAAGGGAAAAGUUGGAUGAAAUUAGAGUAUUUAUGGGAAUAUACUGGUUACAGAGAGAGAUCUGAAUGAACAGAGUAGCAGAGCAUUCUAUGCAUAAAAACAGAGAUGGAGGAAAUCAAUUGGAAAAAAAGAAAUUAAGUUGGCACCACUUGUAGAGAAGUUGUUGGGGAAGAAAUUGCAUAAAUGAAGAGAUUAAUGACCAUUGUUGUGCCUUGUACUAGCAGCAUACUUGGAAAAUUGAUUUACAACUGCCUUUUGAGCACAGGAAACAAUAUUGUCACAUCCUUCUGCAACUGCAAGAUAAACUCUGAAGCAAAGCUGGAUAAAAAAGGUAUAAGGCAAAACAGUGACAAUACUUGUAUGAAACAUAUAACAGAAUUAGCUCAAACCACUUUUUGAGAAUUCUGUAUGUCUUCUGUAUGUCCACUGUCUAAGGGGUCACUGCCCUCUCAGAUGACAGUAACUCCAGAUUAUUGUCUAUAGAUCUCAAUACUUGACAAAGAAAGGAAAAUCUAUGUUGAGAUUUUCUAAGAAGACCAACUACAAGAACCUCAGAAAUAAAACAUGAAACACAAACAUCAAAAGACUUUUCUUUUCUUUUCUUUUCUUUUUUUUUUUAAUCCCAGUGUAUGCCUUUCUUUCUCACACUAAAAAGGCUUCCAGGGAGACUUUCAAGGGAGAUCAAGAUGAAGUAAAUACCGCAGUGAAAAGCUAGGCUUGUUCACUAUAUAAAGGAGCAGAGCACCUACAUUGACAAGAUGCACCUCAUCAGAAAGAAACAGCAUGUUCUGAAACCAGCAUCUUUCCAGCACGAUUGAACAAUGUCUUAUAUUAGUUCUGACAGUGCAGACCAGGAAGACCAUGACCUCCAGUCAAUCUCAUGUCAAGCCAACCAUUACUUUGGUCACAUCCUCCAUGUCUUCUAGAGGUUUCUACAUUCUUCAACAGAUUUCAUCCCUUCCGAUUAAAUAUAUAUGUUUGCAAAGGCAUAUCAUUUUACUCCACAAAACAUUACUGCAAAUUAUUAUCUUGAGACUGAAAAGGGGCAGGAGCAAGCCCUAGCCAGGCCAGCAAAGGGUGACAAAAACCUAUUAUUCCAUUUGUUCUUGCACUGACUCUCCUACAACACAAUUUUAGAAGCACAAAAAUGAAGUUUAUACAUUCAUGUUUACUUCUGAAACUCUCACUAAUUCAGUCAGCAGUGGCAUAAAUGAACCUAAUUCAGUUCAUGCUGAAAUACAUUUAGCAUAUGCUAGGUUAGUUGCUAAGAUACAAAAGAUGGAAUGGGAGCCAACGAAGCAAACAUUAUUUCUUAAACCACUGCAUUGUUUCAGAAUCAAACAUAUAAAUAUGCUAAAAAUAAGAAAUGUCAGCAGCAUGUAGAAAGGUACUAAAAAUACAUCCCGAAUCUGACGUCUGAUACUUGGGCUAGCAGUUUGGUUUGGUUUAAGAAUUCCUUUUCACACAACAGUAAUCAAUAUAAACACCUAAACAAAAUAUUAAUGUAACAGAAAUAAAAGCAAACACUACAAAAUUCAAAAGAAAAAUACAAGUACAAAGGAAAAAUUUAUACACCCAUUGAUCCUUAAACUAUCAUGUAAAGAUUCAUUAAUUCCAGCCUUUGAACAAUAUCUAGUUAAGCUUAUGUUAAAAAUGAUCAACUUGCUGAUUAACUGAAAUACAGACAUAAAAAAUAAUUUUAAGAAUGUUAAUGUACAAUGAACUCCAUCCAAGGCAAGAAGAAAUACCAUUUAGCAGUUUAAGCCCAUAAGUCUGAAUUUAUUCCUUCAGUAUAACAAUUUCAUUCUCACGUGAAACCAAAUCAUGUUUUAUAGAUGUUACAAAGAGACCACAAAUUUAAAAUUAUAAAUUCAUCACAGAUCAUUCUCCAACACUAAGUUGAAGCAUAAGACAACUUGUCAGUUCCUUUCCAGCAUCUUGGCUGGAUAUAACAGAUGUCAGAUUCCUUCCAUUCGUGAAGAAUUAAGUAGGAUGUCCUGGUUUUUGGUCUCCUUCCACACCUCCAGGUUGCAAUUCAGGAAAGACUUCACCAAACACAUUUGGCUUCUUUCAGAGACAGAUCUUUUGUAGACAGCUGAAAUGGACAGUAGUCUCCACAUUCAAUGCAUUCUUGCAGACAAGUAUGUAAUAUUCUUGUGGUUGUACUUCUAGUCAAGUAAUUGAGAAUUGUGCAGCUCUAUUAUAGCAGAAUAUAUGCCAAAGAAAGAGCAGGAAGCCUAAGACAAAGCUAAAAUAAAGGACUUUAAGACCAAAGAACAUGACCCAAUUCUUACAGUUCUGUAAAAGACUGCAUUCAGAUUACGUCCUUUAUCACUUGUCUAAACUGCAAGUGUUAAUGCAUUAGAAGUGCCAGACAAAUAAAAAAAAAUAAAUGGAUCAGGAACACUAUCCAAAGAAAUCCUUCAUCUGGUCAAGAAAUUUGUUGUGGUACGAGUAGCAAGUAUUCUCUUCUGAUUCAAAUGCAUUUUGCAAAUAAAUAAAACCACUAAAAGAA